GAUGAACGCUGGCGGCGUGCCUAAUACAUGCAAGUCGAGCGAACAGACGAGGAGCUUGCUCCUCUGACGUUAGCGGCGGACGGGUGAGUAACACGUGGAUAACCUACCUAUAAGACUGGGAUAACUUCGGGAAACCGGAGCUAAUACCGGAUAAUAUAUUGAACCGCAUGGUUCAAUAGUGAAAGACGGUUUUGCUGUCACUUAUAGAUGGAUCCGCGCCGCAUUAGCUAGUUGUUAAGGUAACGGCUUACCAAGGCAACGAUGCGUAGCCGACCUGAGAGGGUGAUCGGCCACCCUGGAACUGAGACACGGUCCAGACUCCUACGGGAGGCAGCAGUAGGGAAUCUUCCGCAAUGGGCGAAAGCCUGACGGAGCAACGCCGCGUGAGUGAUGAAGGUCUUCGGAUCGUAAAACUCUGUUAUUAGGGAAGAACAAAUGUGUAAGUAACUAUGCACGUCUUGACGGUACCUAAUCAGAAAGCCACGGCUAACUACGUG
rnacentral:rRNA from 1 species